GUGGGGAAUCUUGCGCAAUGGGCGAAAGCCUGACGCAGCCAUGCCGCGUGAAUGAUGAAGGUCUUAGGAUUGUAAAAUUCUUUCACCGGGGACGAUAAUGACGGUACCCGGAGAAGAAGCUCCGGCUAACUUCGUGCCAGCAGCCGCGGUAAUACGAAGGGGGCUAGCGUUGCUCGGAAUUACUGGGCGUAAAGGGCGCGUAGGCGGACAGCUUAGUCAGAGGUGAAAGCCCAGGGCUCAACCUUGGAAUUGCCUUUGAUACUGGCUGUCUUGAGUUUGGGAGAGGUCAGUGGAACUCCGAGUGUAGAGGUGAAAUUCGUAGAUAUGCGGAAGAACACCAGUGGCGAAGGCGACUCACUGGCCCAAUACUGACGCUGAGGCGCGAAAGCGUGGGGAGCAAACAGGAUUAGAAACCCGGGUAGUCC
rnacentral:rRNA from 1 species